rnacentral:lncRNA from 1 species
AAAUAGUAAAAGGUUCAUACGAAAAUUUGACAAAAACUCCAUUGAUGGGCAUUCAAGGACUUCGGUUUUGACAUUCUUUUGACUCGGAAAAACCCCAUGAUUGUUUUAGAUGCUUAACACGUUUUAAAAUUGUUUCCUUUUUAAUCAACAUCAAAAUCCCAUAAACUCCAUUAUUUGAAUUCUUAAGAACAACAUCAAUCUAUGGUUUUAUUUACCCAACAAUAGAAUACGAACUUUUAAUCAACCAACAACUCACAACUUCAAUCAUCAUAAUAUAAGAUUCAAAAGGAUGGCCAACACAUAUUUCAAACACGAAUCUAAGGUGCAAUGAUAGAAUCAAAACACAACGUCAUGUAUACAAAACUCAAACAUCACAACAUCAUGAACAAGGAAAAGAGGAGAACAACAACUUAAAGCACACAUAAUGAAUAUAGCAAAUAUGCCUAUU